rnacentral:rRNA from 1 species
CAGCUCGUGUUGUGAAAUGUUGGGUUAAGUCCCGCAACGAGCGCAACCCUUAUCCUUUGUUGCCAGCGGUCCGGCCGGGAACUCAAAGGAGACUGCCAGUGAUAAACUGGAGGAAGGUGGGGAUGACGUCAAGUCAUCAUGGCCCUUACGACCAGGGCUACACACGUGCUACAAUGGCGCAUACAAAGAGAAGCGACCUCGCGAGAGCAAGCGGACCUCAUAAAGUGCGUCGUAGUCCGGAUUGGAGUCUGCAACUCGACUCCAUGAAGUCGGAAUCGCUAGUAAUCGUGGAUCAGAAUGCCACGGUGAAUACGUUCCCGGGCCUUGUACACACCGCCCGUCACACCAUGGGAGUGGGUUGCAAAAGAAGUAGGUAGCUUAACCUUCGGGAGGGCGCUUACCACUUUGUGAUUCAUGACUGGGGUGAAGUCGUAACAAGGUAACCGUAGGGGAACCUGCGGUUGGAUCACCUCCU